GUAGGUGGCAAGCGUUGUCCGGAAUUAUUGGGCGUAAAGCGCGCGCAGGCGGUUCUUUAAGUCUGAUGUGAAAGCCCACGGCUCAACCGUGGAGGGUCAUUGGAAACUGGAGAACUUGAGUACAGAAGAGGAAAGCGGAAUUCCACGUGUAGCGGCGAAAUGCGUAGAGAUGUGGAGGAACACCAGUGGCGAAGGCGGCUUUCUGGUCUGUAACUGACGCUGAGGCGCGAAAGCGUGGGGAGCAAACAGGGAUUAGAUACCCUGGUAGUCCACGCCGUAAACGAUGAGUGCUAAGUGUUAGGGGGUUUCCGCCCCCUUAGUGCUGCAGCUAACGCGUUAAGCACUCCGCCUGGGGGAGUACGGCCGCAAGGCUG
rnacentral:rRNA from 1 species